CCGGUCUCUGCGGCGCGGUGUCGUAACGCUCCGCAUUCCUGGGAGCCUGCGCUCCCGGUUCAUGGAAUUGUGCUCCCGGCCCCGGGCGAAAACAGCAGCGACAACAACAAAAAGCAGGCGAGCCUUUGGCCGGGUUUUGGGAGGCUCCAGAAAUGAGUUCCAGAAGAAAGUGUUCCGGGCAGGAGUUCAGGGCAUGGACAGCGGGAGGAGGCAGCGGGAAAAGCUGGAUAAUCCUGGCCUUGCGUCACCUCCCGCGGCCCCACGUGCACAGCCAACAACGCCAAUGAGGAGGGCUUGGAGGCGCCGUUCCCCUGCCGGGGAAGGGACGGAUCAGGGAACACCAGCAAGGAGAAGAUCUUCCAAACUCUGUUUGGAUGGAUCCAGGGAGAUGAACCUGCUGAGGAGAGGGACUGAGCCAACACUGCGGCAGAAGAAGGGGCCUCAGCUCCCAAAAUAA
rnacentral:lncRNA from 1 species